GUCCUUUCGGUUGGAUGCUCGUCGCUUUAUGAAGCCCUUCGGGGUGGAUUAGUGGCGAACGGGUGAGUAACACGUGGGCAAUCUGCCCUUCACUCUGGGACAAGCCCUGGAAACGGGGUCUAAUACCGGAUAACACUCGCCGAGGCAUCUCGGUGGGUUGAAAGCUCCGGCGGUGAAGGAUGAGCCCGCGGCCUAUCAGCUUGUUGGUGAGGUAGAAGCUCACCAAGGCGACGACGGGUAGCCGGCCUGAGAGGGCGACCGGCCACACUGGGACUGAGACACGGCCCAGACUCCUACGGGAGGCAGCAGUGGGGAAUAUUGCACAAUGGGCGAAAGCCUGAUGCAGCGACGCCGCGUGAGGGAUGACGGCCUUCGGGUUGUAAACCUCUUUCAGCAGGGAAGAAGCGAAAGUGACGGUACCUGCAGAAGAAGCGCCGGCUAACUACGUGCCAGCAGCCGCGGUAAUACGUAGGGCGCAAGCGUUGUCCGGAAUUAUUGGGCGUAAAGAGCUCGUAGGCGGUCUGUCACGUCGGAUGUGAAAGCCCGGGGCUUAACCCCGGGUCUGCAUUCGAUACGGGCAGACUAGAGUGUGGUAGGGGAGAUCGGAAUUCCUGGUGUAGCGGUGAAAUGCGCAGAUAUCAGGAGGAACACCGGUGGCGAAGGCGGAUCUCUGGGCCAUUACUGACGCUGAGGAGCGAAAGCGUGGGGAGCGAACAGGAUUAGAUACCCUGGUAGUCCACGCCGUAAACGGUGGGAACUAGGUGUUGGCGACAUUCCACGUCGUCGGUGCCGCAGCUAACGCAUUAAGUUCCCCGCCUGGGGAGUACGGCCGCAAGGCUAAAACUCAAAGGAAUUGACGGGGGCCCGCACAAGCAGCGGAGCAUGUGGCUUAAUUCGACGCAACGCGAAGAACCUUACCAAGGCUUGACAUCGCCCGGAAAGCAUCAGAGAUGGUGCCCCCCUUGUGGUCGGGUGACAGGUGGUGCAUGGCUGUCGUCAGCUCGUGUCGUGAGAUGUUGGGUUAAGUCCCGCAACGAGCGCAACCCUUGUUCUGUGUUGCCAGCAUGCCCUUCGGGGUGAUGGGGACUCACAGGAGACUGCCGGGGUCAACUCGGAGGAAGGUGGGGACGACGUCAAGUCAUCAUGCCCCUUAUGUCUUGGGCUGCACACGUGCUACAAUGGCAGGUACAAUGAGCUGCGAUGUCGCAAGGCGGAGCGAAUCUCAAAAAGCCUGUCUCAGUUCGGAUUGGGGUCUGCAACUCGACCCCAUGAAGUCGGAGUUGCUAGUAAUCGCAGAUCAGCAUUGCUGCGGUGAAUACGUUCCCGGGCCUUGUACACACCGCCCGUCACGUCACGAAAGUCGGUAACACCCGAAGCCGGUGGCCCAACCCCCUUGUGGGGAGGGAGCUGUCGAAGGUGGGACUGGCUUAGUUUGACUCCAGUCUUAC
rnacentral:rRNA from 1 species